rnacentral:tRNA from 1 species
GCGGCCAUAGCUCAGUCGGUUAGAGCGUGGGUCUAAUAAGCCCAAGGUCGCAGGUUCGACCCCUGCUGGCGGCA